CCUACGGGUGGCAGCAGUGAGGAAUAUUGGUCAAUGGGCGCGAGCCUGAACCAGCCAAGUAGCGUGAAGGAUGACUGCCCUACGGGUUGUAAACUUCUUUUAUAAAGGAAUACAGUGAGUCACGUGAGCCUUUUUGUAUGUACUUUAUGAAUAAGGAUCGGCUAACUCCGUGCCCUCAGCCGCGGUAAUACGGAGGAUCCGAGCGUUAUCCGGAUUUAUUGGUUUUAAAGGGAGCGUCGAUGGGUUGUUAAUUCAUUUGUGAAUGUUUGCGUCUCAACUGUAAAAUUGCAAUUGAUACUGGCAGCCUUGAGUACAGUUGAGGUAGGCGGAAUUCGUGGUGUAGCGGUGAAAUGCUUAGAUAUCACGAAGAACUCCGAUUGCGAAGGCAGCCUACUAAACUGCCACUGACAUUGAUGCUCGAAAGUGUGGGUAUCAAACAGGAUUAGAUACCCUAGUAGUC
rnacentral:rRNA from 1 species